CAUUGGCCUUUCCAAGGGCUGAUGUUUCACAAAGCGUCUACAUUUGUAUUAAUUCAUGAAAACGUUACAAAGUGGAUGAAAAAGAAGCUGGGGUCUUGGUGGCAUUAAGAUCUCGAGUGGUGAGCAGGCUGGCCUCUCUCAGCAGCUAAGAGGCCUGGCCCCACCUGCCCGCUCUGUUGCCCGAGAGAGGGAUCCGGGCCUACCGAGCUCCACGUCACUGCCCGUCAUGAGGUGCGGUCAUCAAAUACCUCCUGUCUCCAUCUAGACUCUUCCCUCUCCCCAUCCCCCAACUGCUGCUGGAAGCGAAACCUCACCCGUCCUGGCAGAUAGCUGAUGCCUCCAACGUUAACUCUGGGAAGCGCAGUGACUCGCUACCCAGCGUCAUCCUCUUCUCCAAAACUGGCAGAUUUCUAGCAAGUCAAACUGGUGCUUCUGCCCUUUGGGAAUAAAUUUUACAAACUGAAAACAUGAAAACAUUCUCUCCUGAGAGUUGCCUUCAGGAAGGACCCAGGAAUUCACUACCGCGACAGUUAAUUUCAUGUGUCAAUCUGACUGGUCUCGGAAUGUCCUAAUAGGGACAGAAGGACACCUUCUGGAGGAACGAAGGGAGACAACGGAUCGCUGGAUGACUCUUCUCGCAGAACCUGCUGCAUCUGGACUCUGAGAAUCAUCAGCUUUCCUGCGUGACAAUGUCCCAGAGUCUCCACAAACUACCCCCUCCCCCUCCCCAGGACUUUCGUGUGUCUGCAGUCCUGUCUGCCCGCUCCU